AUUGAACGCUGGCGGCAUGCCUUACACAUGCAAGUCGAACGGCAGCACGGGAGCAAUCCUGGUGGCGAGUGGCGAACGGGUGAGUAAUAUAUCGGAACGUGCCCAGUCGUGGGGGAUAACGUAGCGAAAGCUACGCUAAUACCGCAUACGAUCUACGGAUGAAAGCGGGGGAUCGCAAGACCUCGCGCGAUUGGAGCGGCCGAUAUCAGAUUAGCUAGUUGGUGGGGUAAAAGCUCACCAAGGCGACGAUCUGUAGCUGGUCUGAGAGGACGACCAGCCACACUGGAACUGAGACACGGUCCAGACUCCUACGGGAGGCAGCAGUGGGGAAUUUUGGACAAUGGGCGCAAGCCUGAUCCAGCAAUGCCGCGUGCAGGAUGAAGGCCUUCGGGUUGUAAACUGCUUUUGUACGGAACGAACGGUGAGCUCUAAUAAAGCUUGCUAAUGACGGUACCGUAAGAAUAAGCACCGGCUAACUACGUGA
rnacentral:rRNA from 1 species